AAGAAAGGGAAUCUAAUUUACUCUUUCGGUGUUGGACAGAUUCGCCAGCCAUGUCUCCCAGCAAGUUCGACUCCACUGUAACCAAAACUCUCUCCUUUUCUGUAUAUUAUCUGUGCUUCUUCUUUUGGAUUCUCAGAUGUUGAUUGUGUCUAUUCUUCUAUGGUGUCCACUAAAGCUUGGAUUGAUUGCGUUCUUGGCAUUUAGAUUUUUUCAGUACUUGUUGAACAUGGAGCUCCUCUGACUGUGGGUUGCUGGGUUGGUAGUAUAUUCCUUGCCUCUUUGUGAUAAUGAAGCAGUGGGAAAAAAGUUUGAUGGUCAAAAGUGCGUUCAGUUUGUGCAAGCUGUAAUUUUUAAGAUUUUGUGUUGCCUAGUUUUUGAAUGUGGGAUGGAUUCAGUUUGUGGAAGUACGGAUUUCAUGUGUUGAAUUCCGGGUUGAGGGUGAAAUAUACUUUAGGAUCGAUAGUUCACACAAUUUUGGUGGUUGUUGGUUUUUUUUUUUUCGCACAAAUAUUUUGAAAAAUCGCGUUAUCUUAAUUUGUAUCUUGAUAUAUAAUUUAUCCGAUGAGAAUUCUAAAAAUACAAAGAGAAGGAUUGGAUUGACUUACAUCAGAAGCACUGUUCAGUCUUAACAGUGACGACUUCAUGCAAAAUUUGUUGAAAGGCGGCCGGAUCACGUCCUUAUCCAGAAGCGCUAGGGUAAUUAAUAUUUAUGCCUGUACACAGCGGAAGCUCUCUGCUAGUGCGGGGGGUUCAAAUCUGCCUGUUGAUAAUGUGGCUUGCAUGCAGCCCUGUUGGACCUGUACAGGAGUAAUUUUGUGUGGCGAUCGUUUAAGAUAGCAACAAUCAAAAUAAUCAGGCAGAUUAUUGCUGAAGGAAAGGCUUCUGCUCAAGCUGAGGCAGCUGAAUGGAAGCGUAAAUAUGAACUGGAGAGAGCACGAAAUCUGCAAAUGGAGUGCAAAGAGCAUGGUAGUGAUGUUGAUGAUGCAAGAAUGGGGAACUUGGUCAACCAACCAGUGUGGUGCAGUGAAGCAAAUGAGCAAUUUGAAAAGUGCUGCAGGAAUGGACUUUGCUCGCAUGAAGUUCUUCGAGAUGGGGAAACUGAUUUUGAUUCUAAGAUGGUCAGAAAGGCUUCAUUUAAACUUUCAUAGUGCUGCAAAGGCCAACAAAGUGAUCAGCACAAACAUGACAUUGUCUCCUUUGAAAGAGGGAAUAUAACAACUGCAGAACGAAGCAGUAAGCAGAUGGUUGAGGGAACAGAAAAAAUUGGACAUAUAUGUUGAGCCACGUGUGCGAGUUGAACUUCUUACUUCAGUUUUGUACAAACAUGGAAAGAUGAGAAGGAAAUUUUGCUCCUGCAUACAAAAGUUGACCUUGUGGUAACUCUUGGUUGGGAUGGAACAGUCCUUUGGGUUUGUGCAUUUACUUUUAGCUGUAUUGAAUGAAUUAGAACGUGUUAUAGAAUUAAAAUAUUAAUUUAGGGCACUUAUAAAAAUGUAUUAACAUAGUAUAUGAUAAACGUGAAGCAUUAGUUUUCCAAUAUGUUAGCCAAAAAUAUUUGCAAUGCACUUUGAAAUUAGAUUGUUCCAUUUGGUGGCACUCCAUGUAUGUGUGGUAUUUAAUGUUAACACCAGGUAACUUACCCAAAAAAAAUGAAUGGCCUAGAUCAGUGGAUGGUUAACACGUAUAGAAAACUAAGGAACCAUGGGAUUUUUCUAUAAUCUUGUAUUUAAAAUCUCUAGGGGUGCUUAAGAUUCAUAGAAGUAUACUUGUCAACUCUGAAGAGAAUACUGCAUUUUUUGGUUUUUCCUGAUUUUCUUUACUUUUUGGUUUUCCAGAUUUUACAAUCAUUGCAAGUAAGCUUUUCUAAAUAUGAUCAUUUUUUCAUUAAUUAUCUCUAAGGUAAUAUGCAUAAUGCUUGUCUAAUUCAGUGUAAGAGUGGGUUUAUUCUUGGAAAUGAAGUCUAAAACCCUGGAAUCUGCAUCAACUGAAUUUCAUGCUACACAAUGAUAUCUAUUUCUUUCAGAUUCUUUUGCUUUCAGACUGUACUUGGCAAUUAUUAUCAACUGAUUUUUAGGCAGGAUCCAUGUUCAAAGGACCAGUUCCUCCCAUCGUCCCAUUUUCUUUAGGGUCUCUUGGCUUUCCGAAUCCUCCUCCUUGUUUAAAGGCGUUUGUUUCUCUAACAAUUUGAUAAUUUAAUGACACCACUUUAUACAACCCACACCUUUUUAUGACAUCUUUCACAUAAUUGUUGGCUUUCUCCUAUCUGACUGCAAGUUGGUCCUUAAUAUUCUUCAGACUCUGAAAAUUACAGAGAAUGCCUUGACUCUGUUUUUCAGGGUCCAAUUAGUAUCACAUUACGGCACCGUUUGCAGUGUCAAGUUAUUAGGGAUGUGGCUAAAAAUGAGUAUGAUAGUGAAGAACCAAUACUUGUUUUGAAAGAGGUUACAAUUGAUCGUGGAAUAUCAUGAUCAUACCUUACAAAUUUGGAAUGCUAUUGUGACGACUCCCCUUUGUCACUUCUGUCCAAGGGGAUGGUUUAAUUUUAUCUACAACCUCUAGCAGUACUGCAUAUUCGUUGGCGGCUGGAGGAUCAAUGGUCCAUCCACAUUUGUUGCCUCCAUAUCUUACAAUAAGAUCAGUGUUAUAUAAUUUAGGCAUGCAAUGUUACAAGGAAAUUUAUUUCUUUGGGUUUUAUAGGAUAAUUCAUGCUUAUUAUCCAGAAAGAUAUUUGAGUUAGAAUAUCUUAUAAUUGAAGGCUACAUUGAAUUUGCCUUGUGUAAUCUUGCAAGUGGAAAGCCUA